rnacentral:rRNA from 1 species
AAUCUGUAGGAGACUAACAGGAUUCCCCUAGUAACUGCGAGUGAAGCGGGAAAAGCUCAAAUUUAAAAUCUGGCAGUCUUUUUUUGRCUGUCCGAAUUGUAGUCUGGAGAAGUGCUUUCCGCGCUGGACCGUGUACAAGUCUCUUGGAACAGAGCGUCAUAGAGGGUGAGAAUCCCGUCUUUGACACGGACAAUCAGUGCUUUGUGAUGUGCUCUCAAAGAGUCGAGUUGUUUGGGAAUGCAGCUCAAAAUGGGUGGUAAAUUCCAUCUAAAGCUAAAUAUUGGCGAGAGACCGAUAGCGAACAAGUACCGUGAGGGAAAGAUGAAAAGCACUUUGGAAAGAGAGUUAAACAGUACGUGAAAUUGCUGAAAGGGAAACGCUUGAAGUCAGUCGCGUUGGCCAGAACUCAGCCUUGCUUUUUUGCUUGGUGCACUUUCUGGUUGACGGGCCAGCAUCAAUUUUGACUGCUGGAUAAAGGUUGGGGGAAUGUGGCACCUUAGGGUGUGUUAUAGCCCUCAGUCCCGCAUACAGUGGUUGGGAUUGAGGAUCUCAGUACGCCUUUAAGGCAAGGGGYUUUAAYUUCCCUAUGCUCGUGCUUAGGAUGCUGGCAUAAUGGCUUUAAACGACCCGUCUUGAAACACGGACCAAGGAGUCUAACAUGCCUGCGAGUGUUUGGGUGGAAAACCCGAGCGCGUAAUGAAAGUGAAAGUUGAGAUCCCUGUCGUGGGGAGCAUUGACGCCCGGACCAGACCUUCUGUGACGGAUCCGCGGUAGAGCAUGUAUGUUGGGACCCGAAAGAUGGUGAACUAUGCCUGAAUAGGGUGAAGCCAGAGGAAACUCUGGUGGAGGCUCGUAGCGAUUCUGACGUGCAAAUCGAUCGUCAAAUUUGGGUAUAGGGGCGAAAGACUAAUCGAACCAUCUGACUUCG